rnacentral:rRNA from 1 species
CGGUAUUUAACCAGAAAGUCACGGCUAACUACGUGCCAGCAGCCGCGGUAAUACGUAGGUGGCAAGCGUUAUCCGGAUUUAUUGGGCGUAAAGAGAGUGCAGGCGGUUUUCUAAGUCUGAUGUGAAAGCCUUCGGCUUAACCGGAGAAGUGCAUCGGAAACUGGAUAACUUGAGUGCAGAAGAGGGUAGUGGAACUCCAUGUGUAGCGGUGGAAUGCGUAGAUAUAUGGAAGAACACCAGUGGCGAAGGCGGCUACCUGGUCUGCAACUGACGCUGAGACUCGAAAGCAUGGGUAGCGAACAGGAUUAGAUACCCUGGUAGUCCAUGCCGUAAACGAUGAGUGCUAGGUGUUGGAGGGUUUCCGCCCUUCAGUGCCGGAGCUAACGCAUUAAGCACUCCGCCUGGGGAGUACGACCGCAAGGUUGAAACUCAAAGGAAUUGACGGGGGCCCGCACAAGCGGUGGAGCAUGUGGUUUAAUUCGAAGCUACGCGAAGAACCUUACCAGGUCUUGACAUCUUGCGCCAACCCUAGAGAUAGGGCGUUUCCUUCGGGAACGCAAUGACAGGUGGUGCAUGGUCGUCGUCAGCUCGUGUCGUGAGAUGUUGGGUUAAGUCCCGCAACGAGCGCAACCCUUGUUACUAGUUGCCAGCAUUAAGUUGGGCACUCUAGUGAGACUGCCGGUGACAAACCGGAGGAAGGUGGGGACGACGUCAGAUCAUCAUGCCCCUUAUGACCUGGGCUACACACGUGCUACAAUGGACGGUACAACGAGUCGCGAACUCGCGAGGGCAAGCAAAUCUCUUAAAACCGUUCUCAGUUCGGACUGCAGGCUGCAACUCGCCUGCACGAAGUCGGAAUCGCUAGUAAUCGCGGAUCAGCAUGCCGCGGUGAAUACGUUCCCGGGCCUUGUACACACCGCCCGUCACACCAUGAGAGUUUGUAACACCCAAAGUCGGUGGGGUAUACCUUUUAGGAGCCAGCCGCCUAAGGUGACAGAGUUGG